CAGAGUAUAGUCCAACACAGAUAAGACGCCUCUUUCACAGAGGAGGUGCCCGUGCAAACCGGGCUGCCCUGGU
rnacentral:tRNA from 1 species